GCGGGCGUGGUGGAAUGGUAGACACAGGAGACUUAAAAUCUCUAGGCCGUAUAGGCCGUGCCGGUUCGAGUCCGGCCGCCCGUACCA
rnacentral:tRNA from 2 species